rnacentral:lncRNA from 1 species
GGCGGGCAACCGGGGAAAAUGAGGAGUUUUCACUGUUUUAGCGUUGUUUGGCUUGUUGAUACCACGUUUUUACUGAGCGUACAUGCGGGGAGCACCAGUCAAACGGCGUUGUAGGCCUCGUCUUGCAGCACACGGGCUCUUCCUGUUUUUGAAAUGAACAAUUGACUUCAUGGUGGUGGAUGGCACAGUGCUAGAUGGAUGCAGAGAGGGAGAGAGAGAAGGAUCUACUGCAAAGGGGUUCUUCCUGCAGCUAUUUCUGUCUUACCAAUGAACUUGUUUUAGGUUGUGAUCCCUUGAAAGCUAAGUGUGAGGGCUGUGAGGGGUGCCUUGUUACAGAAUCA